rnacentral:rRNA from 1 species
GUUGGCCUCGGAUCAGGUGGGGAUACCCGCUGAACUUAAGCAUAUCAAUAAGCGGAGGAAAAGAAACCAACAGGGAUUGCCUCAGUAACGGCGAGUGAAGCGGCAACAGCUCAAAUUUGAAAUCUGGCGCAAGCCCGAGUUGUAAUUUGCAGAGGAUGUUUCGGGUGAAGCCACGGUCCAAGUCCCUUGGAACAGGACGUCAUAGAGGGUGAGAACCCCGUACCUGGCCGUCGGUGCCCCCCGCUGUGAAACUCCUUCGACGAGUCGAGUUGUUUGGGAAUGCAGCUCUAAAUUGGUGGUAAAUUCCAUCUAAAGCUAAAUACCGGCCAGAGACCGAUAGCGCACAAGUAGAGUGAUCGAAAGAUGAAAAGCACUUUGAAAAGAGAGUUAAAAAGUACGUGAAAUUGUUGAAAGGGAAGCGCUUGCGGCCAGACUUGCCCGCGGUUGCUCAGCCCGCCUUUUGGCGGGUGCACUCUUCCGCGGUCAGGCCAGCAUCGGUUUGGGCGGUCGGAUAAAGGCGUCGGGAACGUGGCCUCCCCUCGGGGAGGUGUUAUAGCCCGGCGCGCAAUGCGGCCAGCCCGGACCGAGGUUCGCGCUUUGCUAGGAUGCUGGCGUAAUGGCCGUAAGCGGCCCGUCUUGAAACACGGACCAAGGAGUCUAACAUCUAUGCGAGUGUUUGGGUGUCAAACCCGUGCGCGUAAUGAAAGUGAACGGAGGUGGGAACCGCAAGGUGCACCAUCGACCGAUCCUGAUGUCUUCGGAAGGAUUUGAGUAAGAGCAUAGCUGUUGGGACCCGAAAGAUGGUGAACUAUGCGUGAAUAGGGUGAAGCCAGAGGAAACUCUGGUGGAGGCUCGCAGCGGUUCUGACGUGCAAAUCGAUCGUCAAAUUUGCGUAUAGGGGCGAAAGACUAAUCGAACCAUUU